UUCCCGAGGUUGUCUCCUGACCUCUGUAUCUGUGUCGGGGGCUCUCAUUUUGAUAGUUCAGGUCACUUUGUGCACGCUCACUUGCUCAGUCCUGGGCACUUGCUUGUCAGGUACAGGGAAUUUAAAAGGCUAAAGCCGGUCCUGCUCUGCGGGGUUUAGUAGAACUGAUUACAGGGACGUGAGGUGGUGUACUAGUGAGUUGAGGGAAGAGCCUUGUGUCUUAAGGAAACACAAGCUUGCCUAGGAACAGGGUGCCAAAACCCAGCCGGGCCUCACAGCCUCCCAUGCUAACGCACUGCCAAACUUCUACGUUGGUGGCUGCUAGCCUGCCCUUUCCCAUUUUCCAUUCUUCUUUCUGGAUACUUACCCAGAAGUGACUUUAAAUAUUCUUUACUGAGUUUAAAUACUGUAUUUUUGUCUAAUUCUGAUGGGCUUGUUCUCCCCUUCGGUGAUGCAGAUGCAGGCCAGAUUAGACCAGAUUAAAAGCAGAUAUAGGCGGGUUUAUUUGGGGUUAGCUCCCUGGCGGGUUCACUGAAGUCAUGCAUCCAGGCUCUAAAGCAAGGGGAUUUUAUAGAGUUUAGGCGAGGAGUGAUGACGUGUCACUAGGCGCUGGGCGUGGUCGAAAAACUGACCUCCUGGGCGGAUACUCUUGAGUGGAUUGCCAGAAACACGGAGACUCUCCUCUCCACGACCCGGUGUCACGUGGUGUUUGGACACUCACUCCUUUCCAUGAACUUCUACUUUGCCAUCAUCGUUUACUUUACUUUUUGCUCGGCUUCUGUCCACUCUCCUCUGUAUAAGCACUGGUGCCAGGAAGCAGAGAUGGAUGGAGGGCUUGCUGGCCUGUCAGGUUAGCCAAAAUGUCAAACUCCAGGCUCAGUGAGAGACCCUGUCUCAAGAAAUAGGUGGAGAGGGACUGGAGAACUGGCUCAGCAGUUAAGAGCACCGACUGCUGCUCUUCCAGAGGUCCCAAGUUCAAAUCUCAGCAACCACAUGGUGGCUCACAACCGUCUGUAAUGGGAUCUGACGCCCUCUUCUGGUGUGUCUGAAGACAGCUACCGUGUACUCACAUACAUAGAAUGUAUACAGACUUAAAGUUGUAGGAUUGUCAUACAGGGGAAGGCAGGUACAAGAUAGAAGGAGGCCUGUCAUUGGAUCAGAAGGAAGGAUGGGCAGGGAAAAGUUUGAGGGAAGAGGAGGAUACCGGAACGGAAGGAGACGGGAGACUGGAGGAGGCUGCAGAAGAAGUCGUGGAGAAGACAUGGAGGCUGACUUUAAGAUUCCACUCUGUGUAUUUACAGGUUGUUAUGAAUAUUCUUAAGGGAUGGAUGUGUAUAGGGCCUUGUAUGUCUAGGUGGGCAAUUAUAUCUUAUCAGUUGGAUCAGA